rnacentral:rRNA from 1 species
AUGUCGACCUCAGAUGUGAAGAUCAAGUUGCUGACGUACAACGUGUGGUCCAACGAGCACGUCGCAGUAUAUCGAAGGAUGCAGUCCAUUUCUGAUCUCAUAGCGAGCCAUGACCCGGACAUCAUCUUCUUGCAGGAGGUCACGUGUUAUAUUAAGGACAUCAUUCGGAGAUCUCCAUGGUGGAGACAGUACAGGGAAUUCACUCGUCCGGCUCCUGGUUUGAUUCUGCUGACCAAGUUGCAUAAAGUGGACCCACGCCACAUCGAUCCCGGGCCAGCAUGGCUGCGGCCACCACCAACUCCAGAGGGUUUCUUGUCGGCCUUCCUUGAUUCCGAGCGCGGAUCCACUGACACCAACGGCGUUGAGCACGACUGCCGUCUCUACCUGGUGUGCUGCGACCACAGGCUGCACGUCGCGACCUGCAGCCCAGAGCCCACCCAAUCGGCCAUUCGGUCCGUCGACAGAAUCAACAGAGCCCACGAGUACCUUGGACACUUCGGGAAAUGCUCCAUCUCCGACCACAACGUGGUGCUCGCCGGCGACAUGAACUGGGACGACGACCUCGACGGCCCCUUCCCCAUCCCCGUGGGGUCGGGGUGGGUGGACGCCUGGUGCGAGCUGCGGGGCGGCGACGGGGCCGGCGGGUGGACCUACGACUCGGUGGCGAACCCGAUGCUCCGUGGUUUCAAGCCGGGGCGGACGAGGCCGGACAGGUUCCUCUGCAAGCUCAGGGACUUCGACCUGGACAGCAUCAGAAUGGUCGGCACAGAGGCCAUUCCUGGCGUUACCUACUACGACGACAAGGGGGACGUGCUGCCGGUUCUUCCCAGCCAUCGCUUCGGCCUGCUGCUCACCAUCUCGCCCAAGCAGGCUUAG